GCGCCCGUAGCUCAGCGGAUAGAGCGACAGACUACGAAUCUGCAGGUCGGGGGUUCAAUUCCCUCCGGGCGCGCCA
rnacentral:tRNA from 1 species